AGGGAGGAAGUUAAGUUGGACGUGUGUGUGUGUGUGUGUGUCACAGAGAUCACACAGCUGAGGCAUGUGGAGGUGUACAGCACAUAGGUGUUUUGACUGACAGCUUCUAGCUGUAAUCACGUGUAUGAUUGUUUCCACAUGUGAAACGGAUGUAAAAAUGAUUGGAUGAAAAAUCCCCCCGUGGCCGGCAGUCUGACUAAAGGCUGUGAAGUCGUGUCAACAUGGUUUCAGUUAUCCUGCAGGAAAGAGGACCCCAGCACGCCUGCUUAAAGAAAAAGAGAGGAGACACCAGCAUCUGAACAGAGAUUCAAACCAGCAACCUGCAGGUCCCUGCUUGGCUGCUCCAGUUUUCUCCUCACUCAUGUUGCCCACCAGUGAUUUCUAGCUGGCCACCCACACAGCAGGCUAGAAUAUGCGCUGAGCCUCAGCACCAUGGUUGCAAUACUUGGACAUGUUUUCUUUAUUAAAUAAUGAACCAGACCCCAAAAAGUGAACAGCUGUUAUUGCUAGGCAACGGGAGCAGCAUUUGGUGAUGCAGCACCUGACAUUCCUGACCAUGUGGGCGGAGCAUGCAUGAGAUGGAAUGUUUAGUAGAACUGUGCAACACAAGCACUUAGUUACAGCAUUUUUCAUUUUAUCCAGACACAGCUAGAGACAAAUCUACAGCAGCAUCUCUGUGCAGGACAAACCACAGUUGAAGAUAAAAAACCAUCGAAAACUUCACUUCACUUCUCUACAAUAAGUUGGUUCCUUUCUUUAAAAGGCCAAAAUGAAUCAAGGGAGAUCGAGAAGAGGAUAUGUGAGUGCUUCACCAUACAGUACAGUGAAGUCUGAGCUGAUUAACCUACAAGAAGAAUUUAAAAUAAUACAGGCUGAAAAUGUCAAAUUAAAAGAAGAGGCAGAAAAAUCAAGAGGAGAAGCUAAA